CUAAGGCGAGGCCGAAAGGCGUAGUCGAUGGGAAACAGGUUAAUAUUCCUGUACUUGGUGUUACUGCGAAGGGGGGACGGAGAAGGCUAUGUUGGCCGGGCGACGGUUGUCCCGGUUUAAGCGUGUAGGCUGGUUUUCCAGGCAAAUCCGGAAAAUCAAGGCUGAGGCGUGAUGACGAGGCACUACGGUGCUGAAGCAACAAAUGCCCUGCUUCCAGGAAAAGCCUCUAAGCAUCAGGUAACAUCAAAUCGUACCCCAAACCGACACAGGUGGUCAGGUAGAGAAUACCAAGGCGCUUGAGAGAACUCGGGUGAAGGAACUAGGCAAAAUGGUGCCGUAACUUCGGGAGAAGG
rnacentral:rRNA from 1 species